CACACUGGAACUGAGACACGGCCCAGACUCCUACGGGAGGCAGCAGUAAGGAAUCUUCCACAAUGGACGAAAGUCUGAUGGAGCAACUCCGCGUGCAGGAUGAAGGCCUUCGGGUUGUAAACUGCUUUUAUGAGUGAAGAAUAUGACGGUAACUCAUGAAUAAGGGUCGGCUAACUACGUGCCAGCAGCCGCGGUCAUACGUAGGACCCAAGCGUUAUCCGGAGUGACUGGGCGUAAAGAGUUGCGUAGGUGGUUUGUAAAGUGAAUAGUGAAAUCUGGAGGCUCAACCUUACAGGCUAUUAUUCAAACUCACAAACUCGAGAAUGGUAGAGGUAACUGGAAUUUCUUGUGUAGGAGUGAAAUCCGUAGAUAUUUGAAGGAACACCAAUGGCGUAGGCAGGUUACUGGACCAUUUCUGACACUGAGGCACGAAAGCGUGGGGAGCGAACCGGAUUAGAUACCCGGGUAGUCCACGCCGUAAACUAUGGAUACUAGCUGUUAGGGGUAUCGACCCCCUUAGUAGCGAAGCUAACGCGUUAAGUAUCCCGCCUGUGGAGUACGGUCGCAAGACUAAAACAUAAAGGAAUUGACGGGGACCCGCACAAGCGGUGGAUCGUGUUCUUUAAUUCGAUGCUAAACGAAGAACCUUACCAGGGCUUGGACAUCCCUUGAAUUACUUCGAAAGAAGUGAGUGCUUUAUUGAGCAAGGUGACAGGUGAUGCAUGGCCGUCGUCAGCUCGUGUCGUGAGAUGUUUGGUUAAGUCCAUCAACGAGCGCAACCCUUGUGAAUAGUUGUAUUUUUCUAUUCAAACUGCCCCGGUAACGGGGAGGAAGGAGGGGACGAUGUCAGGUCAGUAUUUCCCUUACGUCCUGGGCUAGAAACACGAUACAAUGGCAAGUACAAUGCGCAGCGAA
rnacentral:rRNA from 1 species